UGGGCACGAGCGACUAUCUCCUACCUCUUCUCCUUGGAUCUUGCAUUCUUGAGAAAAUGCGAGCCGGUGGAGAAAGUUCUUUCUAGAAGGCGAGUGGCAGAUCCGGCAACUAUGGAGUUCUUGAUGCAGCCGAUAAAUAGGCUACUUGGUGGAGUAGCAGAACUCUGCUCGAGGUCAACCAGAACAACAUCCCCAUGAGUCCCCUUCAUUACCCUGUGAUGACGCCGCCGGUGGUCGAGGUGUCGGCCGUGACGGCUUCAAGUGCAGAUGCGCAGCUUUGUGCUCCGGAAGCUGCUCCAGGUGCAGGUAGUGCAGAGAAGCCUCAAGGUCCAGAGAACUCCAUAGAACCUGUUGGCCCGAAAACUCCUGGCUCGACUAAAAGGGCAGGCCACUUAU